AGCGAUUCAGUGACAGUUUUCAUAGUUGUGACAUAAUUAGUAAUCAAAUUGACAUUUUGAUCUUAUGAUAUUCUUAGUCAUAUAUGUUUCUGUUUUUGAGUAGAAAUUGACGAUGGAAUAUACAACUUGAAAUCCAUGUAGACUAAUAAAAAUAUGAAGUGUCAACUCAUCUACAAGGAUCCAAACAUGAUAUACUGAUAUUACCUCUAAAGUUGUUGGUAAUCCUUCUAGCUCUACCUUAUUUCAAAAUUGUCAAAGCCUCAAGUAAUUCAAAGGUCC
rnacentral:lncRNA from 1 species